rnacentral:lncRNA from 10 species
AGUGGUCAUGGUGGUGGUUUUCCGCCUGCCAUAUCACAGGAAGCCCUGAGUGGGAGCAGAGGGGGAAAACCAAGCCUCCUACCCUGCCAAUCAGGAAAUCCUGAAACCCUAGCAUAAUUCAUUACCUUAUAUAGCUGGGGGGAAUGGGGAAGCCCUUUCUCUAGCAAGUCACCUCACCUGGAUCUAUAAUCUGGGCACGAAGUGUAAUUUUAUUGCUGUGCCCCCAGCACUGUCUUGCUACAUUGCUAGCAGGUUAUGCAUAAAGACAAGGCCUCCUGCAUACACUCUCUCACUACCUCUGUGUAGUGAGGACUUGUCUGCAGGCCUGGGUUACAAAGCACAGGAAGGGUUGCACAGAGCUGGCAUGGCUGGAGCUACCACAGUGGCAGAACCUGGGGCAAGGAUCUGGAAGUCAGUGGAAUUCCAAGGUUUUCGGAAGGAUUAAGAGGUCUACCUUAGGAAGCCAGGAAAUCUAUUCUUUUUCUGUUUUAGAGCUUGCCCUCCAUCUCUAUAAAGCAGUGUUUCUCAAUUUGUUUUUUGUUAUCACUGCCCCUAAAGGGGAAGAGUUAAUUAGGUUUAAAUGCUCCCUAAAAGAAAAAUUAAAUACUAAGGAAUAGGGCUGAACUUUGUGGGGGCCACAGACCACUAUAAUAUUUAAGAUUUUUUUUUGGCCUCCCUACCCCAAGAAGCAAUUUACGUCCUUUUGAAGGUGAUAUUGGCUCUUUUGAGAAUGCAUGUUACAGAAGGAUGGUACUCUUGCUGUGAACGUUGCCACCCACCAGGUGAACUCUCUUCUUAGACUUUCUCCUGCUUGCUUGUAUUCUUUGUCUUCUUAAUCCAUAAGGAUGAGUUCAUCUGCAAGUCACAGGGAUUCAAAUUAAACUGCCUGACACCAUAAGGAUGUUUAUAUUCUACAAAAGAAGUCUGGAUUUAGAUGCAGUGGCUCGGUGAUGCCACCAAAGACACAGGCUCUUUCCAUUUAUCCACUCAGCUAUCCUCAGGGUAACCGGAAUGUCUCCACUCAUGGCCACAAGAUGGCUGCAGCAGCUCCAGGCAUUGGUCCACACAUGAUUGCAUUUGAAAGGAAGGGAAAAGAGACAAGCAAUGAACAAUGAAGAAGGAGCAAAUGACUCUCUGAUGGAGUUUCACCCUUGUUUCCCAGUCUGGAG